UCUAGCGCCCUCCCCCUCCCGGCCCCGCCCCCUGGAUCGUGGGCUUCGGACACACCCUCUUCCCGUCACGUGACGGUGCUCGGAGGCGGCGGCCGACAGGCUUCCCCUUGGGGGGGCGGGUGCGGACCGCGGGGGAGCUGCCGUCCACACCUAGGUCUGCCGAGGUGUUGUCGCCGCCGAAUCGCCUCCGCACGCCGCAGGGGGGCCUCGGCGUGCGAGCCCACCGCGGUCGGACGCGCGCCUGUUGACCUGCCAGGCCUUCUGAACCGGUCUACCCGGCCCUUCCUAACCUGAAGAGACCGCACGGUGGAGCUCCCUGGUUAGGCUCGGUCUGGACCCCACCUCUGAGACCGGAACGCAUAAUCGAAGGAAUCCUGGAAAGGAUAAAGUGCUAGCCACCAAAAGAAAGUAACAAUACAGAAAUAAGAGGUAGAAGAGCAGAAUGAUCAUACUCAAACCCUGAUAACAAUGAAGGCAAAUGAAAAAAACUUUCUGUAAUAAUUAAAUUCAAGUCAUACCUCAUUUUCCCUUCUAGCCCCAGACUAAGGAUUUUAUUUUCUUAAGCAAUCAUUACAUUUUCUUGACAAGAAGUCAGAAGGCAUUGUGAUUAGGUGGAUCCGUUGAAAUGAAUAAAAUAGAGGUCAGUGUAUGUAAGCCUUACUAUAUUUCAUAGCAGCUCCAAAAAAUCAUACACUUUAAGACUCACCAUUAUUUUUCCUUUCUUUCAAGAAAGGAAAAAAAGCUGCCAAUUAAACUAUGCCUUACCACUCAUCUUUAAUAGACAUUUAAGACAUAUCUUGAAUUCAAAGAUGGUUCAGUGAGUCUUAGAAUCUCUGAGAUAUUGUAAUGAACUGAUAUUCCAGUGAGGAAAAGAUUCAGGUUCUGUUCUGAAGUCCAGGAGACUGUACUCAUAGUUCCGAUAGACAUGCGGGAAGUUUAUUAUUCUGUGAAUGACACUAUUUCAGCAAAGCUAGUAACUUCAGAGUUUUUCAACAUGUUGAAACCUGUCACCUGUUUUCUAGAGCAGUGUUUUUCAAACUGUGACUCAAAAAUCAAUUUUAUUUUUGCAUGAAAUAGGCUAGGAUGGAAUACAAUAAAAAAGAUCAGAGUGCAUAAUAUCCAGCAAAGGCAAAAAUUGCUUUCUGAAAUUUAUUGUUUCAGAUAUGGGGGAAGAUGAGAGUGUGCCCUAUGUUGUGAUCUAAACUGCAUUUCUUACCAUGAGUUAUAAUCAAAUAGAUUUGAAAAAGAAUGUUACUAGAGCAUAGACAACAUGCAAAAUAUACCAUCUGGACUCUGUUUCCCUGAUGUUUUUCCUUUACUUUGGAAACUGUGACUAAA